UUUCAUACAAUUCUGAAUACAAUAAAUAAUCAUAUAAUUAGCUAAUUAAUCAUCCCUUUCUUGAUAUGUGCCAAUAUUUUCGCCGCGAUCCUCGCCUGAUUGCAGAUAUUUUGGCUUUCCGUUAUUUGUCUCGGUAAACUUUCCUCGAUCUUGCUCUAUCUCUAUCCUGCCUGAUUUCAAUCUUGGUUGACAUCGAUCUUGAUCAGUCUCUAGAUCUCGAGAUCAACAAUCUAGCUUUAUAACGUGGUUCGAUAUAACAUGGGAUCGAACAGUAGCCUGCCUUGUUCUAGGAGAAGCCCGAUUUUGACCGUAUACAAAACAAUAAAGUACCUUUUCACCAUUGUUGAAGGAUUUCAAAUCAACAUUUUAACCAUAUUUUGCAUUAUUGGGAUAUCGCACAAUCGUGCGCACAUCAAUUGAGGUCACGCGCUAUUUAUUAGUUUAUGGCAUUGAAGACGUAAUACCUUCAGAAGUUGAGAUUCCCUCUAUUCGAAUCAUUGUUGAAAGUGAGAUCGAGGAUGAUUGAUGGGUUAAGACCCUAUUGGAACAAUUAAAUAUGAUUGAUGAAAAGCGGAUGGCCGCAGUUUUCCACAGGCAAUUGUACUAACAAAACAUGGUCCGUGCUUAUAACAGGAAAGUAACAACAAUAACAAUAAUAACCCAGUAUAAUCCCAUUUAGUUGGGUCUGGGGAGGGUAGUGUGUACGCAGACCUUACCCCUACCCUGGGGUAGAGAGGUUGUUUCCAAAUAGACCCUCGGCAUCCUUCUCCAAGAACUACUACCUUGUUCUUGGGGAGACUCGAACUCAAAACCUCUUGGUUGGAAGUGGAGGUUGCUUACUAUCAGAGCAACCCCUCUUGUCUCAUAAAACAAGAAAGUG
rnacentral:lncRNA from 1 species